rnacentral:rRNA from 1 species
GAUGAACGCUGGCGGCGUGCCUAAUACAUGCAAGUCGAGCGAACAGACGAGGAGCUUGCUCCUCUGACGUUAGCGGCGGACGGGUGAGUAACACGUGGAUAACCUACCUAUAAGACUGGGAUAACUUCGGGAAACCGGAGCUAAUACCGGAUAAUAUAUUGAACCGCAUGGUUCAAUAGUGAAAGACGGUUUUGCUGUCACUUAUAGAUGGAUCCGCGCCGCAUUAGCUAGUUGGUAAGGUAACGGCUUACCAAGGCAACGAUGCGUAGCCGACCUGAGAGGGUGAUCGGCCACACUGGAACUGAGACACGGUCCAGACUCCUACGGGAGGCAGCAGUAGGGAAUCUGCCGCAAUGGGCGAAAGCCUGACGGAGCAACGCCGCGUGAGUGAUGAAGGUCUUCGGAUCGUAAAACUCUGUUAUUAGUGAAGAACAAAUGUGUAAGUAACUAUGCACGUCUUGACGGUACCUAAUCAGAAAGCCACGGCUAACUACGUG